CCCUUAGAUGUUCUGGGCCGCACGCGCGCUACACUGAUGCAUUCAACGAGUCUAAAACCUGCUCUGAUAGGGGUGGGUAAUCUUUUGAAUGUGCAUCGUGAUUGGGAUAGAUGAUUGCAAUUUUUCAUCUUCAACGAGGAAUGCCUAGUAAACGCAAGUCAUCAGCUUGCAUUGAUUACGUCCCUGCCCUUUGUACACACCGCCCGUCGCUCCUACCGAUUGAAUGAUCCGAUGAAUAUCAUGGAUUGAGGAUGCAAGUAGGUUCGCCUAUCUUCAUCUUCGAGAAGUGAAGUAAAUCUUAUCAGUUAGAGGAAGGAGAAGUCGUAACA
rnacentral:rRNA from 1 species